rnacentral:rRNA from 1 species
GAUGAACGCUGGCGGCGUGCUUAACACAUGCAAGUCGAACGGAAAGGCUCCUGCUUGCAGGGGUACUCGAGUGGCGAACGGGUGAGUAACACGUGGGUGAUCUGCCCUGCACUUCGGGAUAAGCUUGGGAAACUGGGUCUAAUACCGGAUAGGACCGCAUUCUGGAUGGUGUGGUGGAAAGUUUUUUCGGUGUGGGAUGAGCUCGCGGCCUAUCAGCUUGUUGGUGGGGUAAUGGCCUACCAAGGCGUCGACGGGUAGCCGGCCUGAGAGGGUGUACGGCCACAUUGGGACUGAGAUACGGCCCAGACUCCUACGGGAGGCAGCAGUGGGGAAUAUUGCACAAUGGGCGCAAGCCUGAUGCAGCGACGCCGCGUGGGGGAUGACGGCCUUCGGGUUGUAAACUGCUUUCGCUAGGGACGAAGAGUAAUUGACGGUACCUGGAGAAGAAGCACCGGCUAACUACGUG